AUGCCCAAACACUCACAUACCGAAGCUUCAUUUACUCGGGCUUCUAGAGGAAUUUUCCCUAGCAGCCACUCUUCCACUGCCCAGUUUCUUUGCCGACCAGCACGAUUGUGUUUGAACUCUUUCAAAUGCUUCAGGGCUUCGACAAGUCUCCACGGGCCCAGCCAGGUCACACGAAAGCCCAGCUUUCACCCCCCUCCCCGCUAAAACCUAUAAAGACCCAUGGGCUCAGCCUAUUUGCUAAAGGUCUACGCAUCAUCAUUCUAAAUAAACAAGCUGGCUUGCAGAACGGCAAGGCCCAUGAAAGAAAUUUAGGGGAAGGCUCACAAAAAAUCACUUACUUAUUCCCUCCUUGCCGAAGCAAGUUCACCUCAAGAAGGCCCAGCUCUAGGUCCCAAUCAAAUCCUUGCUCCAAAAUCACGGAUCGAAGUCACCUUGCCUAA
rnacentral:lncRNA from 1 species